UGUGUGUGUGUGUGUGUGUGUGUGUGUGUGUGUGAAAGAGAGGAGGUACUAGGGUGACACUAUGAUUGGCCAGUGGAGGAAGAGGGUAGCUGGGGUAGAGGUAAGGGUACACCUGGGCAGUGCUCAUGACAGAGCUCAGAUCCUCAGAGUAGGUUCUGUGUGUGAGAUUCCAGACCCCUUCCACCAGAAGCUGUUUCCCAGGCGCUGGAUCUCAGAGAACAUGUAUGAAAUCAGGACUUUGGGAUAUUUGCUGACCUAACUCGUAAGACCAGGUAGGCCUACCUGGAACAUAGUAGACAGACAGCUGUAGUCACUACAGAGCAGGGAGGAAUCUUCAAAGAAGGCUUGUCUGGCCAGGUGUAAGGAGUCACGGGUCACAGGUCACAGGUCACAGGUCACAGGCCUUUGCAAGGUACUUGGUAGAAGAAGAGUGUUGGUCCUGACGCGUAAGUCUCUUCAGUGCAUUCUCUGGGAACACCAAGGACUCCCUCUCAAGAAACACCCCUUGAUCCCCCCCCCUUUGAUGUAUAAGAUGAAUGGCUACACAUCUUUAUUUAGUCCCAUAUUUUUCCCUGUGAAAGGCACCUAGUUGGUUUGUUGUUUCUUUGUUAAAGAGACUCACACAGUAGGGAUUUAAGAAUGAAGCAUUGCAGUCAACACAGGAGUCUCGUUUAGUCUCUUUCUGAGAAAAAUGUUUUGCAGUGCACACACAUUAUUCGUUCAUAAAAGCCUCCUGUUGGUCGGGCAGUGGUGACGCAUGCUUUUAAUCCUAGCACUCUGGAGGCAGAGGCAGGAGGCUCCCUGUGAGUUCAGAGGCCAGCCUGGUCAACAUAGCAAGUCUUAGGACAGCCAGAACUACAUAGAGAGACCUUGCUAAAACAAAACAAACCACCUAGACAAACAAAUAAACAACACAAAACCCCUCACCUUCUGUCCUUUCUGCAAAGCUAGUGGAAUUUAGAGAACAACACUGUAUAAAGUAAUGUUUUCCAACAAUAGAGACAUUCAAUAUAGAGCAAUUAAAAAUGUUUUGAGAGUAUAAUUACAUUUCCCCUUUCCCUUUGCUCUCUCUAAAUAUUCCCCACUUUUCUCUCCUUCAAAUCCAUGGCCUCUUUUUUCAUGAAUUAUUAGUAGAUACAUAUGAUAUGUGCAUAUAUACACAUAUGCACACACACAAUCUGUUGAACCUUUCCCUGCCCUCCACCUCUGGCCAACAAGGGGUAUGCACAGAAGCCAAGAGGUGGGAUCCAUUUGCAUGGAAGACUUACACACAUAGAUGCUUGGGUCCCAGUAGGAUCAACUGGUUGUCAUGGGGGCUCAGAACCAAAGAAUUAUCAAGCAGUCAUCCAGUCUGAAGACAGAGCAAUGUCACUGCAGUGAGCCCCGGUGUCACGUGACUUCUUUCCUUUCCCUUUGCUCUCUCAGCCUCCUGUCCCAAGGAGUCCUGAGGUGCCAGGCAGCAAGCUGCCUGUCCGUCACAUAUCUCCCACAUCUCCCAUUUUGCAGGUGCCUUUCAUUAUUCCGAUUUGAAUUUUAGCUGCCAACCUCUUCCUCCAGGUAAAGCUCACAGGGUGAGUAAGCGCUGCUCUUACAUGCACGUGCUCAGGGCUGUUGGACCUGGUUUGUCACCACAGGCCAGGAGGUCAUCCUUUCUGCCUUGGUACCUGCACCUCAGAUGCCAGGCUGUCGAGUUGUGGCAUGACAGGCGGGGCUGGGGCACAGGCCGGGUCAGCAGGAAUUGCUGCUUGCAGCUCAGGGACUGAGGGAGGCUGACUUUUCAGCUGCUCCCUGGGAUCUUCUUUUCAGUGUCCUCCUGCUCACUGUCCCUGGGUGUCUGAGGGCGAAUGCUCACAAUGGGAACCCCACUAGGGAGCUCUGGGAAUUUCUGUGUAGAUCCAGCUUCUCGAAUUUCCCAGCGCUGUCCCCUCCCCCACUCCUGGUAGGUCUGUGCCCCUCCCUCCUAUUCUGCCCACCCUGGGCUCUGCUGCUCUGCUCCUCCCUCCUGGGUCUCAGUGCACAGCCCUCUGGAGACCCAAAGCCCCCGGGACAAAGGAGAGGGGAUGAGGAGAGGAUUUCCUUUCUUUCAGAUCUGCAGCUUGAUUUUCCCUCUAGCUCUGAGCCCUUAGAUCUAAUGUUAAUUUGUUAAGCCAGGGCCUUAUAAAUUACUUCUCAUAUUCGUCAGAGAACACUGGUAAUUUGGGCACAUAUUGAGGUUUAAAAAAAUGCAGCUGUGGUGUACCUUUUGUUUCCAGAAAUUAAUGAUUUUUUUUUUUUUUUUGUUAAAGUACAGGUAGUUCUUCAGAAAACUGGCAGGAGGCAGGUGAAUUUUGAACUUUAACCAUACAUUCAGAUCUGUCCUGUCCUGUUUACUGGCUGGGUGUUCUCGGGGAACAGUAGUGUCUUUAUUUGACCAUGAAAGGGCAGUUUCAAAAAUUAAAUUGCCAAGGCUGUAGUAAUUCAGUCACUGAAGUGCUUGCCUCCCAAGUGUGAAAACUUGCGUUUCAUUUCCAGAAGCCAUGUUU
rnacentral:lncRNA from 1 species